CCUACGGGAGGCAGCAGUGAGGAAUAUUGGUCAAUGGACGAGAGUCUGAACCAGCCAAGUAGUGUGAAGGAUGACUGCCCUAUGGGUUGUAAACUUCUUUUAUAAAGGAAUAAAACGAGGCACGUGUGCCUUUUUGCAUGUACUUUAUGAAUAAGGAUCGGCUAACUCCGUGCCAGCAGCCGCGGUAAUACGGAGGAUCCGAGCGUUAUCCGGAUUUUUUGGGGUUAAAGGGAGCGUAGAUGGGUUGUUAAAUCAGUUGUGAAAGUUUGCGGCUCAAACGUAAAAUUGCAAUUGAUACUGGCAGUCUUGAGUACAGUUGAGGUAGGCGGAAUUCGUGGUGUAGCGGUGAAAUGCUUAGAUAUCACGAAGAACCCCGAUUGCGAAGGCAGCUUACUAAACUGUGACUGACAUUGAUGCUCGAAAGUGUGGGUAUCAAACAGGAUUAGAUACCCGGGUAGUC
rnacentral:rRNA from 1 species